rnacentral:rRNA from 1 species
CAGUAGCCGCGGGAAUACGUAGGGUGCAAGCGUUAAUCGGAAUUACUGGGCGUAAAGCGUGCGCAGGCGGUUCUAUAAGACAGAUGUGAAAUCCCCGGGCUCAACCUGGGAACUGCAUUUGUGACUGUAGAGCUGGAGUGCGGCAGAGGGGGAUGGAAUUCCGCGCGUAGCAGUGAAAUGCGUAGAUAUGCGGAGGAACACCGAUGGCGAAGGCAAUCCCCUGGGCCUGCACUGACGCUCAUGCACGAAAGCGUGGGGAGCGAACAGGAUUAGAUACCCCCGUAGUCCCUGUCUCUUAUAC